GACUUCGUCAUUUUGAAUCGUCCUCAUUUGCCGCUACCGACCAGAGUCCGUUACACAUACUCUGGUCAAACGAAGAAAUUGUGAACGUUUUGUAAUUUAAAGUGCUGUGAAUAUCUGUUAUUUGUACCCAGCAUUCCUGUAGCCGGCGAAAUGUGUCAGGGAGUUGGUCCCAACCCGCACCAUCCAAACUAACCGUCAAGGACCGCGCUCUUCGCUAAAAGUGGUCGUUUGGUUGGUGGUGCAAGGAGGUAACAAGAUUGUGAACCUCCAAGUUGGCAGAGCGCGCCAACCCGAGAAUCUGUUAGAGCGCAAUGGCGGAGGCCAUCCGGUUUUUCUACCAAAGACAAAGACACAAAACCAAAGACACCAAAACCGUUGCUGCGCCAGGCCUGGCCGGAGGAAGAUCCUCCGACUUGACUCGACCACCGCGGGAUACACUAGAACACACGAACACACACACACAUGGUUAGGUUAGUUUUAAAACGA